CCUACUCCGCCGUAGCCGUCUUCUCUGGGAUUGCCGAUGAAGUUGUAAUCUAAAUACUGCAGUCCGCAUUAUUUACAACCAAGAUCUCCAAAAGGAUUGCAAUGUCUAUUUCGUUGUUUAUUAGAAAAAUAUUUAGGAGCUGUUUGUUGUUGUUGUAAGUCAGACUUUGAAUGUUUAGUUGCAGAAUCUUCAUUGUUUUUUGUUUGAGUAUCCCGCUUCCACCCCUUGCACAAUUUGCAAACGGUCGAGUUCAGCAUUGGAGGAGUUAACAUACUCCAAGAUCUGUUGGAAAAACUUCUGCACCAGUUCCCCCUUGGAAAUGUUGCUGGGUUCCACCAGGAACGCUGUAAGCAUGGAUCCCAGUGCGUUAAGCUUUUCCUGGGCCAUAGAUGAGACCACGGGCGUUGUUCUCACGAAUUUUUCACUUAAUUGAGGGCCAUCUGCGUUCAAAGCGUUCCUCCAGUCUGCCAUGUUGGCAGCUGCCUUAGCCGACUCCAAAUUGCGGGCUGCCAC
rnacentral:lncRNA from 1 species